UAGAUAGAGGUCGCGCGAAUUAUGAGUAGUCUGCCGGAUAUCAGCAGAGAUAUGUGAACGCAGAUGAAAGGAAUAGCGCCGAAAGGAUAUUAUUACUGCAGAUUAUAUUCUUGGGCAUAGAGUGAACAACUUUAUGACUGUCAUCAUAUUUGAUGGGGAGCUAUCA
rnacentral:ncRNA from 1 species